UGCAUACAUUUUAUAUGGUUAGGAUAUGAACUGAGCAACUGGGUGCAUUGAAUGUUUGAUAAACAUUCAAAACAAAUCAAUUUCACAAUUGUAAAAAAUAUACUUCUACAAAAAAAAUAAUUUUUUUAAUUUUUCUUUUAAUUUCAAGAUAUGAUUUCUGAAUUUGAUAUUAAAUACUUUAAAAAAACUGUAAAAUAAAAAAAGAACUCUUACAAAAAUAAUAAAUGUAUAUAUUUAUUUAAAAAUUAUAAUCAAUAUAAAUUUAUCUAAUGAAAGAAGUUUUGUUUUUUGUUCCACUGCAUACAUUUUGUCAAAUUUUUUUAAAUUCAUUACCUAAAGUUUAAUCUAAUACUAGACAAUAGACAUGGAAUUGAGGAAUGUAAAACAUCACGAGAAUAGAAAAACCAAAAAUACUUUUUUCUUGACAGUAAUUGUCAAAAACCCAAUUGUUUAUAGGUCAUCUUCACAUAUCUAUAUUUGCCAUAUUACAACACAAUAUUGGAUCCCAAAUAAAAGAAAUCAAAGGAGACGGGGAGCUCCAAGUCCGUCUCUUUUGUCUGGGGCUAUAGGUAAUCUCACCCAUCUUCGAUAAUAAGGUAAAGGUAAAAGAAAGUUGGACUAUCCUUGAGUUGGAGAGCUUAGGCGACGAUGUGUACAUAUGCGGUUGCUCGACCGCCAAGGUCGAGGGUUGAAAGAGGAACUAGGGUUAAACCCUGUUUUGUCGCAUAGAUCGGCUGGUUGUAAAUAUUUUUCUUGUAAUAGACCUUUAAAUUAUAUUUUUUGGAUCCCAAUGUAUACAGUAAACGUUCUAAUGAAACGUUAUAUCUUAACCAAGAUUUUUAAUCCCUAAACUGCUAAUCAUACUUAGUUACACGAUUUUGGCCAAAUGACUUGAUUAGUGAGUUGAGCACUAUUUAUAAGGCACACCGUAACGGUCCCUGGAGUUUAGGGCGUUACACUUAUAUAGGAUCUUGUUUAUUUUCAUGUAAAUCAUACAUUAAAUAAAUUAAUAUAAGAAAAGCUAGAACAUGUUUCUAUAAUUGAAUUUAAAACAGAGAUAAUGAUAAGAAAACUUAUAUUA